GCUCUGGUGGUGCAACUGGUCAGCACGCCCUCACCAAAAACAUUAAAAACUUGUAAAAUCGCAGGGAGACUUGGGUUCAAACCCCAACCAGAGCA
rnacentral:tRNA from 1 species